AAUGAACGCUGGCGGCAGGCCUAACACAUGCAAGUCGAACGGAUCCUUCGGGAUUAGUGGCGGACGGGUGAGUAACGCGUGGGAACAUACCCAAAGGUACGGAAUAGCCUCGGGAAACUGGGAGUAAUACCGUAUGUGCUCGAAAGAGGAAAGAUUUAUCGCCUUUGGAUGGGCUCGCGUUGGAUUAGGAAGUGGGUGGGGUAAUGGCCUACCAAGCCGACGAUCCAUAGCUGGUGUGAGAGGAUGAUCAGCCACACUGGGACUGAGACACGGCCCAGACUCCUACGGGAGGCAGCAGUGGGGAAUCUUAGACAAUGGGGGAAACCCUGAUCUAGCCAUGCCGCGUGAUCGAUGAAGGCCUUAGGGUUGUAAAGAUCUUUCAGGUGGGAAGAUAAUGACUGUACCACCAGAAGAAGCCCCGGCUAACUCCGUGCCAGCAGCCGCCGUAA
rnacentral:rRNA from 1 species